AUUGAACGCUGGCGGCAGGCCUAACACAUGCAAGUCGAACGAGUGGCGGACGGGUGAGUAAUGUCUGGGAAUCUUCCUUAUGGAGGGGGAUAACUACGGGAAACUGUAGCUAAUACCGCAUACCAUAGGAUGAGCCCAAGUGGGAGUAGCUAGUAGGUGGGGUAAAGGCUCACCAAGUCGACGAUCUCUAGCUGGUCUGAGAGGGUGAACGGCCACACUGGGACUGAGACACGGCCCAGACUCCUACGGGAGGCAGCAGUGGGGAAUAUUGGGCAAUGGACGCAAGCCUGAUGCAGCCAUGCCGCGUGUAUGAAGAAGGCCUUCGGGUUGUAAAGUACUUUCAGUCGGGAAGCGUUACCGACAGAAGAAGCACCGGCUAACUCCGUGCCAGCAGCCGCGGUAAUUC
rnacentral:rRNA from 1 species